GAUGAACGCUGGCGGCGUGCCUAAUACAUGCGAGUCGAGCGAACAGACGAGGGGCUUGCUCCUCUGACGUUAGCGGCGGACGGGUGAGUAACACGUGGAUAACCUACCUAUAAGACUGGGAUAACUUCGGGAAACCGGAGCUAAUACCGGAUAAUAUAUUGAACCGCAUGGUUCAAUAGUGAAAGACGGUUUUGCUGUCACUUAUAGAUGGAUCCGCGCCGCAUUAGCUAGUUGGUAAGGUAACGGCUUACCAAGGCGACGAUGCGUAGCCGACCUGAGAGGGUGAUCGGCCACACUGGAACUGAGACACGGUCCAGACUCCUACGGGAGGCAGCAGUAGGGAAUCUUCCGCAAUGGGCGAAAGCCUGACGGAGCAACGCCGCGUGAGUGAUGAAGGUCUUCGGAUCGUAAAACUCUGUUAUUAGGGAAGAACAAAUGUGUAAGUAACUAUGCACGUCUUGACGGUACCUAAUCAGAAAGCCACGGCUAACUACGUG
rnacentral:rRNA from 1 species